UUCUACUCCACAUUUUUUCUCAAACUCACUGGCGGCGGCGGCGGCGGCGGCGACCGCGCGGCCGGUGGCAACGGCGGUCUCGUCCACGCAAGCGCAAGAUUCCACCCUGUCCUCGUCCCUUAUCCGAGCUGCCGGAGACUCCGCGCCCCGUCUUCAUCCCGCAUCGGCGCUAGCGACGGCCAUGACUCCCCGCCCCAUCUUCAUCCCGCAUCGGCGCUGGCGGUGGCAAGUACUCCCCGCCCCGUCUUCGUCCCGCAUCGGCGCCGGUGGCGGCCCCGCCCUAUCUCCCUACGCAUCGGCGCCGCCCACGAUUCCCCGCGCCGUUUCCGUCCCGCAUCGGCGUGGCCCCCGCGCGAGGAAUAGCCACCGGCCGGCAGGGUGGGUCUGCGCCGGCAACAGGCGGCGGCAGCAGCAGCCCGAUCCGGUCCGGCCGGAUUGGGGCAGGGCUUCAUUGCGCGGCCGGUAAACUUGCAGCCGCAUGAUAUCUCAUUAGCUCCGUCCUCUCGUGCUUGUGCAGGUGGAUUUGGAGCACAAUCAAUAUAGGUCAUUUCAAGGUUUGACCUGCUUGAUGCAGAUUUCAACCAGAACAGAAGACUUUAUUGUGACACUCUUAAGCUCCGCAUAUACAUUAGUCUCUACUUGCAAGAACCUUUUAAAGAUCCAACCAAGAGAAAGGUUUUGAAGAACUCAUCAGUAGUUUCUGUCUAUACGCACUCAGAUUUCUGGUUGCUAAUUUGUUCUUCGUGAAAUAGGUAAUACAUGGUGUGGAUCGUGAUAUAAUGUGGCUCCAACGGGAUUUCCACAUUUACAUAUGCAAUUUUUUGACACAGGACAGUUAAUUUUCAAACAAGGACCAAUAAUCCCAUGAAAAGGCCAUGCACUUUGCUUCUUUCCGUAUUCUCCUCGAAACACUCAUCUCAAUGUUUAAUAGACUGAAGCUUGGUCUUUCUUUCCAAACUUAAUCAGGCUUCAAGGGUCUUACGGAUGGAGAGAAACAGCCUAGAAUACCUAUUGGUUCGCUUUUGUGGAGUGACAGCAAAGGAAUAUUAAAAUGCAGACUGGAGGUCGAGGCCACUUCCUGAUGAAAUGAUCAAGUAAUGUGCACUCUGGUAAACAAAUUUGUCUGCUUCUGGAAAGUGUUCGAACGCAAUUCAGUGACGUGGUGAUCAUUGUGAUAGAGCAGGCAUGUAUCUAUACUAGUUUGAUCUAAAGAAUGCAAAUAUAAAUGAACUCAAGUUAUAAAUGAAGAAGUAAUAGAGAAUCGAAGAUUAAAGCACUGGGCCGGUUUGUGGUGCUCGUUGAUGUAUUGGUUGUGGAAGGGGUUUUGGAAUUGUUCAUUUGUAGCUGCAUAGUUGUUAGGUUCAGUGGUGUGAUUUUAAGUAAUGCAGAUAGAAUAAUAUGUCCU